UUCAUAUUAAGUUCUCAGAAUGACAUAUCCUUACCAGCUCCUGGGACUGCUUGUGCUCUGGAUCUCUGGAGCCAGUGGGGAUAUUGUGCUGACCCAGGAUGCACACUCCAUUCCUGUAACUCCUGGAGAGUCAGCUUCCAUCUCCUGCAGGUCUAGUAAAAGUCUCCUAUAUACUAAUGGCAAAACUUACUUACAUUGGUACCGCCAGAAACCAGGGCAGUCUCCAGAACUUUUGAUCUAUCUAACAUCUAACCGUGCUACUGGAGUCCCAGACAGGUUCCAUGGCAGUGGGUCAGGGACAGAUUUCACACUGAAAAUCAGUAAAGUAGAGGUUGAGGAUGUGGGUGUUUAUUUUUGUCAGCAAGGUCUAGAACAUCCUCCCACAAUGUUACAGUCCUGA